AUUGAACGCUGGCGGCAGGCCUAACACAUGCAAGUCGAGCGAGCGGCGGCCGGUUGAGUCAUGUAUCGGGACUGUCCGUUAGAGGGGGAUAACUACUGGAAACGGUAGCUAAUACCGCAUACUACCGGAUAACCCAUAUGGGAUUAUCUAGUAGGUGAGGUAAUGGCUCAACUAGGCGACGAUCCCUAGCUGGUCGGAGAGGAUGAUCAGCCACAGUGGAACUGCGAAACGGCCCAGACUCCUACGGUGGAAGCAAUGAGGAAUGGUGCACAAUGGGCGGAAGACUGAUGCACCCAUGCAGGGUGUAUUAAGAAGGCCCUAGGGUUGUAAAGUACUAUCAGUAGGGAGGCGUUACCGAGAGGAGAAGCACCGGCUAACUCCGUGCCAGCCGCCACGGUAAUUC
rnacentral:rRNA from 1 species